rnacentral:rRNA from 1 species
UGGGGAAUUUUGGACAAUGGGCGCAAGCCUGAUCCAGCAAUGCCGCGUGAGUGAAGAAGGCCUUCGGGUUGUAAAGCUCUUUUGUCAGGGAAGAAACGGUUCUGGAUAAUACCUGGAGCUAAUGACGGUACCUGAAGAAUAAGCACCGGCUAACUACGUGCCAGCAGCCGCGGUAAUACGUAGGGUGCGAGCGUUAAUCGGAACUACUGGGCGUAAAGCGUGCGCAGGCGGUUUUGUAAGUCUGACGUGAAAUCCCCGGGCUUAACCUGGGAAUUGCGUUGGAGACUGCAAGGCUGGAGUCUGUCAGAGGGGGGUAGAAUUCCACGUGUAGCAGUGAAAUGCGUAGAGAUGUGGAGGAACACCGAUGGCGAAGGCAGCCCCCUGGGUCAAGACUGACGCUCAUGCACGAAAGCGUGGGGAGCAAACAG